rnacentral:rRNA from 1 species
UGUCGUGAUGAUGGCACUGAGGUCACACCUGUUCCCAUACCGAACACAGUAGUUAAGCUCAGUAGCGCCAAAAGUAGUUGGAGGAUCGCCUC